AUUGAAUACUAAAAUUGUCAAAUACAAAUAGUGUUUCUCAACUACAAGAUAACUCUCAAAGCAAUCACUUAAUUCAGAAAUACAAAAGAUAAAUCUUCCCAAAGGAAUGCACUCUCCUGUGCAGGAUAGUUCUUGCCUGGCUCUCAGCUGCCACGAGCCAACUUUGUCUGCCUGGCCACUUCCUCUUGGCUGACUGCCUUUAUACUGGUAUUUGGAUUCCCCA
rnacentral:misc_RNA from 1 species